rnacentral:sRNA from 1 species
AGUAUCCUAUAGACCCUGUUACACAAGAGUUUAAGAUCGAUGAAGAAUUGGUAACAAAUUCUGGGAAGUUCUUGAUUUUGGAUCGAAUGCUGCCAGAACUAAAAAAAAGAGGUCACAAGGUGGUACUUUUGAUUGGAAUUUUGGAUUGUUCAAUUAUUUUUUUAUCAAUCAUUAGAAAUAUUAAGAUAUGUUUAAUUUCAGGUGCUGCUUUUUUCACAAAUGACAAGCAUGUUGGACAUUUUGAUGGAUUACUGCCAUCUCAGAGAUUUCAACUUCAGCAGGCUUGAUGGGUCCAUGUCUUACUCAGAGAGAGAAAAAAAU